GUUUUAUGAUAUCUGUGUGAACCAUGCAGCCAGUCAGAAAUGGACUUUUUCUCAGAUCAAGAUGGAAGGUUUCCCCCCACCCUCAGAUAAAGGUAUAUAAAGUCCUUCCUUGAAGAAAUGAGGGAGAUUCUUUGAAUGAAACUACAUUUCCCAAAACAUUGUGACUCUGGGAGGCAGCUGGUUGGUGUAAACCUGUUUCAAGCUACAUCCCCCUAGGGAUGCCAUCAGUCACUGUGCUAGGCUAUACGGUGGUGAGCCAUGAUGGGGAUGAGAGGAACCAAAGCAACAGCAAACAAAAACUCUUCUUGGCUUUCAGUUUCCUCUCAGUGCUCUUUCACUGACUCUAAAGCAAAUGAAAGUUUCAGCACUGCAGAACAUCAACCAGUGGAGCCUUCUGCAGUGGUGUUCAGCAAAUGGGAAAGAGCAUCUUUGAGAUUUUCUUUUGGCCUUUGGAAUAUGAAAGGAGAUUCUGGGUAUGGGCCAGCGUUUUUGGGGUAAUGAAACUGGCUGACUCCUUUUCCUACUGGAGUAGGAUAACUUGCCUUUUUUUUUUUUUCCCUCCCCACAUGUCAGGUAUAUUUUGCAUCAGCCAUGUAGACCUAUCAACCCAUCAAUAUGAAUAGUCAUGGGAUAUCUAAUAGGAAAAUUGGGUACAACCACUUUAAAUUUCAACAAAGAUAAAUUUGUACAAUCUUUUUCUCUUUUCUAGUAUCAUCAUGAUAACCUCAAAGUCAAAAACAAUUAGGCAAAAAUAGAAAAAUAUAUCUUGAUUUUUACAUCAGAAACAUUCUCUGAGCUGCGGUUAUUAGGCUAAAAAUAAAUCCCCUGUAGUAAAUUCUGUGCA
ensembl:lncRNA